UCCUCGUUGGUCUAGUGGCUAUGAUUUCCGCUUGUCAUCGCAAGAUUGCAAAGCGCGGGAGACCAGUGAGUACACCUCCACCUCCUCAUGCAUCGCAAUUGCUAACAUUCAUUGCGAGGGGUUCGAUUCCCUGACGAGGAG